AUGAGUGUAGGACGACUGGUGGGAGAUUUAAGAAAAGAGAAAACCUGUUUGUUGAGGAAGCGUUUCAACGCAUGGCAUUGGAUCAUCUUCUUAAGAUUGCUGGUUGUUGAUAUGUUUGGAUGUGGGCUGUCGAUUUGUGUUGUUUCAUAUUUUUGGAAUUAUUUUCUGGCUGGAAGGAAUAAAAUACAUGAUUGGGAAAGGAACAUAACUACUCAAGUUACAUGUUUUAAUGUGCAAGACCCGUAA